UACGUAGGGUGCAAGCGUUAUCCGGAAUUAUUGGGCGUAAAAAGCUCGUAGGCGGUCUGUCGCGUCUGCUGUGAAAUCUGGGGGCUCAACCCCCAGCCUGCAGUGGGUACGGGCAGACUAGAGUGCGGUAGGGGAGAUUGGAACUCCUGGUGUAGCGGUGGAAUGCGCAGAUAUCAGGAAGAACACCGAUGGCGAAGGCAGAUCUCUGGGCCGUAAC
rnacentral:rRNA from 1 species